UGUAGUCAUAUGCUUGUCUCAAAGAUUAAGCCAUGCAUGUCUAAGUAUAAGCAAUUAUACCGUGAAACUGCGAAUGGCUCAUUAAAUCAGUUAUCGUUUAUUUGAUAGUACCUUACUACUUGGAUAACCGUGGUAAUUCUAGAGCUAAUACAUGCUAAAAACCCCAACUUCGGGAGGGGUGUAUUUAUUAGAUAAAAAACCAAUGCCCUCCGGGGCUCUUUGGUGAUUCAUGAUAACUUAACGGAUCGCAUGGCCUUGCGCCGGCGACGGUUCAUUCAAAUUUCUGCCCUAUCAACUUUCGAUGGUAAGGUAUUGGCUUACCAUGGUUUCAACGGGUAACGGGGAAUUAGGGUUCGAUUCCGGAGAGGGAGCCUGAGAAACGGCUACCACAUCCAAGGAAGGCAGCAGGCGCGCAAAUUACCCAAUCCCGACACGGGGAGGUAGUGACAAUAAAUACUGAUACAGGGCUCUUUUGGGUCUUGUAAUUGGAAUGAGUACAAUUUAAACCCCUUAACGAGGAACAAUUGGAGGGCAAGUCUGGUGCCAGCAGCCGCGGUAAUUCCAGCUCCAAUAGCGUAUAUUAAAGUUGUUGCAGUUAAAAAGCUCGUAGUUGAAACUUGGGCCUGGCUGUCUGGUCCGCCUCACCGCGUGUACUGGUUCGGCCGGGCCUUUCCUUCUGGAGAGCCUCAUGCCCUUCACUGGGUGUGUUGGGGAACCAGGACUUUUACUUUGAAAAAAUUAGAGUGUUCAAAGCAGGCCUUUGCUCGAAUACGUUAGCAUGGAAUAAUAGAAUAGGACGUGCGAUCCUAUUUUGUUGGUUUCUAGGACCGCCGUAAUGAUUAAUAGGGAUAGUCGGGGGCAUCAGUAUUCAAUUGUCAGAGGUGAAAUUCUUGGAUUUAUUGAAGACUAACUACUGCGAAAGCAUUUGCCAAGGAUGUUUUCAUUAAUCAGUGAACGAAAGUUAGGGGAUCGAAGACGAUCAGAUUCCGUCGUAGUCUUAACCGUAAACUAUGCCGACUAGGGAUCGGGCGAUGUUAUUAUUUUGACUCGCUCGGCACCUUACGAGAAAUCAAAGUUUUUGGGUUCUGGGGGGAGUAUGGUCGCAAGGCUGAAACUUAAAGGAAUUGACGGAAGA
rnacentral:rRNA from 1 species